UACAGAGACCUCAAGCGUUAUCCGGAAUCAUUGGGCGUAAAGCGUACCGAUAGGUGGUUGUAUAAGUCAGAUGUGAAAUCUCCGAGCUCAACUCGGAAUCUGUCAUUUGAAACUAUACAACUAGAGGGGCAAAGAGGAAGCUGGAACGAACGGUGUAGUAGUGAAAUGCGUUGAUAUCGUUCGGAACACCAAUAGCGAAGGCGGGCUUCUGGGUGCCACCUGACACUGCUAGGACGAAAGCGUGGGGAGCGAAUGGG
rnacentral:rRNA from 1 species